rnacentral:rRNA from 1 species
UACAGAGGUCUCAAGCGUUGUCCGGAUUUACUGGGCGUAAAGAGCGCGCAGGCGGUCGUUCAAGUCGCGUGUGAAAGCCCCCGGCUCAACUGGGGAGGGUCACGCGAUACUGAUCGACUCGAAGGCAGGAGAGGGUAGUGGAAUUCCCGGUGUAGUGGUGAAAUGCGUAGAUAUCGGGAGGAACACCAGUGGCGAAGGCGGUUCUCUGGGCCGUUACCGUAGACGCUGAGAGCGAAAGCCGA